rnacentral:lncRNA from 1 species
CCGGCCUGGUAUUUCUGUCAGGUAUGGACCGACCCGGUAUUUUUCCCCUGCACAAUCCAGAUUAAUCCUUUUGAAAAAGGCUUGCACUGUGGAUUUAUCUAUGAUGGGCUUCGGCCUUCUAUUUUUUGGCCCAUUAAUCCUUAGCCGCUGCCGCCCAUUAAUCAUUAGCCGCCGUCGAUGCCAUUCUCUUUCGCUUCUGAGUUCUAACUUCUAAUGCCUUCAUCUCCAACCUCCGGUCAGUUUUCACCUCCACUGCUCCACCGCUUGAGGCGACCACCGGACCGAAUUACUUGUCGGAGCAGCAGGCAGCUAAUGGUGUAAACGGAAAAGAUUAAAAUAGACGAGUCUAGUGACGGCGGCGGUAAAUUUUAUAUCCGAUCGCAACAGAAGCUCAGUAUCUCAGCUCUUUCUUUGCUCUGCUGUUCAGUAUUCUUCGCUAGUGUUUCAGUCCUGCAAUUGAAUUUGAAUGUGGUUCCCUUACUGUUCUGGCAGAUUCUCCAUGAUAUAUUUAGCUCGAAUUAAGAAAUCGUUUAUUCCCUCGUCUGUUUUCACGAAUUUUGCUGAUAGGCAGCCUAGGUUUUAUAGAAAGUUAACA